rnacentral:rRNA from 1 species
AUGGGUGUGGCUGGAACACGGGGGGACGUCGUGGCAUGGGGAUGGAGCAUGACCGGCCGUAGGUUGGAAGAAGCUGGGAGCGAGGCAGCUCGUAGGCUGGAUGGAGAAGAGGAUGAGCGGCACUGGCUGGUGGACAAGGUCAAGGGAGAAGCAGCGAUGGUGAUGUGUGGAGAAGAGGCACAGACUGAUAUGGCUGUUGCUAGAUGUCACUUUGCAUACAAUUGCGACGCUGCUGUUUGUCUGGACUGCCAUGGUUUAAUGUUUCUGCUAGAAGAUGAUGCUCUAUUGCCAUUGUUGCCACAUAUAAAGUAA